CCUACGUGGUGCAGCAGUGGGGAAUAUUGGACAAUGGGCGAAAGCCUGAUCCAGCCAUGCCGCGUGUGUGAAGAAGGCCUUCGGGUUGUAAAGCACUUUCAGUGGGGAAGAAAGCCUUGGGGCUAAUACCCUCGAGGAAGGACAUCACCCACAGAAGAAGCACCGGCUAACUCCGUGCCAGCAGCCGCGGUAAUACGGAGGGUGCGAGCGUUAAUCGGAAUUACUGGGCGUAAAGCGCGCGUAGGCGGUCUGAUAAGCCGGUUGUGAAAGCCCCGGGCUCAACCUGGGAACGGCAUCCGGAACUGUCAGGCUAGAGUGCAGGAGAGGAAGGUAGAAUUCCCGGUGUAGCGGUGAAAUGCGUAGAGAUCGGGAGGAAUACCAGUGGCGAAGGCGGCCUUCUGGACUGACACUGACGCUGAGGUGCGAAAGCGUGGGUAGCAAACAGGAUUAGAUACCCCAGUAGUC
rnacentral:rRNA from 1 species